AUCUCCCGCUUGAACUAUGUCGUUAUUUCUCUGAUCCCCCAGGUUAAGGGUGCUGAAUUAAUUUCUCAAUUCCGACCUAUUGCUUUGAUCAAUAACUUUGCCAAAUUUCCGGCUAAGGGCUUCGCUAACCGUCUCUCCCCUGUUGGGCAUAGAGUUAUCAGCCCCUUCCAGUCUGCUUUCAUCAAAGGUCGUUUCAUCUUAGAUGGUAUCCUCUCUUUGCACGAAAUUGUGCACGACCUUUACUCUCGGAGAUCCAAAGCGAUUAUUCUUAAGUUAGAUUUUGAGAAAGCUUACGACUCGGUCAGUUGGUCGUUUCUUAAGCAGGUCUUG
rnacentral:rRNA from 1 species